CACACGAGGAAACGGCUGCAAAAAAAAAAGUUUUUGGUCGAAUCGAUGUGGUUAAAAAUCACGAAUGAAAAUGAAUGGAAAGAGUGCGUUUACCUGCGCCGGCAUGACGCUGGUCGGAGAGGAGGUGACCGAGUGGUCGUUUUGCUUGAGAGAGGCGGCGGGGAGCGGCUCUCCUCGCACGGCGUACAUGAGCGACGUCUCGCGGCACUCCGCAGCCCGCAUCGGCACGCGUUUGAGGGGCGCGUGCACCGCCUCGUCCGCGGAAGUGAUUGUCCGCAGUCGCUUCCUCGCCUUCUGGUGCGUCAAGUCCAUGAUAUCCGUCUCGUCCAUCUUCUUUUGUGUUUGACGUCCUUUUGGCCGGCUAAAAGGCACCUUCUUCCGGACGCGACGAGGCGGUUGGGGAGAGCGAGGCUGUCAGGCGGAGCAGCUCGCUUGCAAUGGCUGGGAGAAGUCAAAGCCCCCGACAACAUUAGCAUCGCAGCGCCCGCGGCUCUUUCUUCCAAUCGAGGCUGUCGCUCUUUCACUGGCAGCAGAAGGCAAGGGGAGCUGCGGGGCAAACGGGAGCGAAAUCACAUGGCUGCUCUUCAAAAGGGGACCUGUGUAAGGCAGCCGGCAAAGUGCGUGGGAUCACACUCAGAAUGCAGUUGACAGCGCUGGAAGUUGAAAACAAAAGCGGAGGAAGAGUACUUACGAGGAUGCAGCGGCAGGCUUCGAGUGAGCGGAAGAGGAGCCGAUCGCCGCUCUGUCGUUGGAGCCGCGGACUGUGCCCUGGGACUGCAGAGCCGACAUCAAGACUCGGGAGUUUUAACGCCUGCACCGUGGGGAGGGGUCAAGGGGCGGCACAAAGUGUGACCACACUGUGAUUCAAAGAACAAUCUCAGUAUCUGGAGUCAAGAUUUGAUGCAAGCACAACAUAAAUGAAAGGUAAACUAUGCACAGUGUCAUUAUAAUCACUUAAAAUCCUAUUAUAGAAAAAUAGCCACAAAAAAGUAUCUUUACAUCACACUGGAGUUGUUUCCACAUGAACACCAAUUAGGAUGACAAUAAACAAAAGGAAAUUAUUAUGUUGUCAUUUUGCAUUAAAAGCCAUAUAACAUAUACUGUACAUACAGUGCUUUGAGUAACAGAGCUGUUUUUUAAAAAAAAUAUUCUGAUGACCUAAUUUAGCCACAUUACAUGAACAUCUUGAACCUUUUUUUUUCUCCUUUUUUUAUUUUAUUGAGACAAAGAGUAUUUAUGUAUUUAAUAUUUGUAUGCUUACUAUGGUAUAUUAAGUAUUUAUUAUUUAUUUGUUCUGUUACAGAGAACAAGGAAAUUGGAUUAAAUUGGUAUGGUAUGAAAAGGGGUAUUAAAUAAGCUCUGCUUCUUCCUACUCCUUUUCGGACGUGUUGUAAUGAAACAACUGGAAUUGUGUGAUGCAUCACAUUGUGUCGUAUGCAUGUUCCAAAUAAACUGAAACUGAACUGAACUGAACAUUAUGAUCAGAAUGACAUGUAGUUGUAAACAAAUGCAAAUUAGCAUUGCUAUUUUUAUAAUUGUGCACAUGUAUUGUCCUGGCUGGUAUA